UACGGAGGGAGCUAGCGUUGUUCGGAAUUACUGGGCGUAAAGCGCACGUAGGCGGCUUUGUAAGUUAGAGGUGAAAGCCCGGGGCUCAACUCCGGAACUGCCUUUAAGACUGCAUCGCUUGAAUCCAGGAGAGGUGAGUGGAAUUCCGAGUGUAGAGGUGAAAUUCGUAGAUAUUCGGAAGAACACCAGUGGCGAAGGCGGCUCACUGGACUGGUAUUGACGCUGAGGUGCGAAAGCGUGGGGAGCAAACAAG
rnacentral:rRNA from 1 species